GCCCCUGUAGCUCAGAGGAUAGAGCAUCGGUUUCCUAAACCGUGUGCCCGGGUUCGAGUCCCGGCAGGGGUA
rnacentral:tRNA from 2 species